rnacentral:rRNA from 1 species
GUGAACGCUGGCGGUAGGCCUAACACAUGCAAGUCGAACGGCAGCACAGUAAGAGCUUGCUCUUACGGGUGGCGAGUGGCGGACGGGUGAGGAAUACAUCGGAAUCUACUUUUUCGUGGGGGAUAACGUAGGGAAACUUACGCUAAUACCGCAUACGACCUACGGGUGAAAGCAGGGGAUCUUCGGACCUUGCGCGAUUGAAUGAGCCGAUGUCGGAUUAGCUAGUUGGCGGGGUAAAGACCCACCAAGGCGACGAUCCGUAGCUGGUCUGAGAGGAUGAUCCGCCACACUGGAACUGAGACACGGUCCAGACUCCUACGGGAGGCAGCAGUGGGGAAUAUUGGACAAUGGGCGCAAGCCUGAUCCAGCCAUACCGCGUGGGUGAAGAAGGCCUUCGGGUUGUAAAGCCCUUUUGUUGGGAAAGAAAAGCAGCAGGUUAAUACCCCGCUGUUCUGACGGUACCCAAAGAAUAAGCACCGGCUAACUUCGUG